rnacentral:rRNA from 1 species
UACGUAGGCAGCAAGCGUUGUUCGGAAUUACUGGGCGUAAAGAGUGUGGAGGCGGUUUUCUAAGUUCGGUGUGAAAUCUCCCGGCUUAACUGGGAGGGUGCGCCGAAAACUGGAAGGCUUGAGUGCCGGAGAGGAUAGCGGAAUUCCCGGUGUAGCGGUGAAAUGCGUAGAGAUCGGGAGGAAGGCCGGUGGCGAAGGCGGCGCUCUGGAACAUUUCUGACGCUGAGGCUCGAAAGCGUGGGGAGCAAACAGG